ensembl:miRNA
UGUACCACCUUGUCGGGUAGCUUAUCAGACUGAUGUUGACUGUUGAAUCUCAUGGCAACAGCAGUCGAUGGGCUGUCUGACAUUUUGGUAUC